UUCGUGCUAAGCCCAAUAAGCUUAGGGGCCGUGUAAACGGCUACGGCGGCCAAACGCGCUAAGGCGUCAGCUAUGCGCUAGUAGGUCUGAAAAGUGCCACAGUGACGAAACGAUCAGGGAAACCUGAGCGGUGGAACGGGUAAACCCCGCGAGCGAGUAACCCAAACUUUUGGUAGGGGCGUUUUGCCAAGCAAAUUGAAGCGACGGCAAUACAGCGGUAACGCUGAGAUAGAUGAUGACUGAAGGAGCUUGUGCCUGAACAAGUUCUGGAACAAAACAUGGCUUAUAGGG
rnacentral:RNase_P_RNA from 1 species